rnacentral:tRNA from 1 species
GAACUUGGCUUAGAUGAGCGAUUUUUGGAACACCCACGAACAACCACGAGACCCUCAAGCCGCCUUCGCAUGGCGGAGGUCACGAGUUCGAGUCUCGUCGGGUCCA